AACCAUCGGCCGGGAAUCGAACUCGGGGCGCCCGCGUGGCAGGCGAGCAUUCUACCACUGACCACUGAACCAAAGGCAAACGGU